rnacentral:lncRNA from 1 species
UGCAGAAGUGCAGCGUGAAGCAGGGAAAACUAUCAGACUAUCAGAUCACUUGAGAACUCACUCACUAUCACGAGAACAGCAUGCAGCUGUUACUGUCGGGCGCAACAUGACAGAAAUGAUGAGAAGCAAGAGUUCAUUUUUAGACAGAGAGGACUGCACGCUCUCUCCCUAGAGCCAGCCCAGGAUGGCAGCAAUCAGAGAAGAACCCGAGGGAGCCUGAAGGCCAAACACUCACCUUGUGCGAUGUCCCUG